GUCCUUACUUUGAAAGCACAUAUACCCACAUUGGAAAGAUAUAAAGAUUAGCAUGGCCCAUACAUAAGGAUCACACUCAGAUCUGUGAAGGGUUUCACACUUUU
rnacentral:snRNA from 1 species